UAAAACUUUUGUUUCUGUGUUUCAGUUUUGAUCUCUCUGUCUUCUGGGAUGCCUAAUCAUAGUGCUAGCAUCCAGCUUUGUGUUCAGAAGUUAAGAAUAUUAAUAGAAGAUUCUGACCAGAACUUGAAAUACUUGGGAUUGUUAGCUAUGUCCAAAAUCCUGAAAACACAUCCCAAGUCAGUUCAGUCUCACAAGGAUCUCAUUCUCCAAUGUUUGGAUGACAAAGAUGAGUCCAUCCGACUCAGAGCUUUAGAUCUCCUCUAUGGCA